rnacentral:rRNA from 1 species
GGUGCCAGCAGCCGCGGUAAUUCCAGCUCCAAUAGCGUAUAUUAAAGUUGUUGCAGUUAAAAAGCUCGUAGUUGAAUUUCGGGGUUAGUAGGUUGGUCAUGCCUCUGGUAUGUACUGGUCUCACUGAUUCCUCCUUCCUUAUGAACCGUAAUGCCAUUAAUUUGGUGUUGCGAGGAAUUUGGACUGUUACUUUAGAAAAAUUAGAGUGUUUAAAGCAAGCUAACGCUUGAAUACAUUAGCAUGGAAUAAUGAAAUAGGACGUUCGAUCUUAUUUUGUUGGUUUCUAGGGAUUGACGUAAUGAUUAAUAGGGAUAGUUGGGGGGCAUUAGUAUUCAAUUGUCAGAGGUGAAAUUCUUGGAUUUAUUGAAGACUAACUACUGCGAAAGCAUUUGCCAAGGAUGUUUUCAUUAAUCAAGAACGAAAAGUUAGGGGGAUCGAAGACGAUCAGAUACCGUCGUAGUCUUAACCAUAAACUAUGCCGACUAGGGAUCGGAUGAUGUUAAUUUUUUAAUGACUCAUUCGGCGCCUUACG